rnacentral:lncRNA from 1 species
ACACAUAUCACCAGCGUGUCCAUCACGCCAACUAGCUCGCCUCCGACGCUUCUCUCUUUGUCAUCCUACCUCCAAACGAUUUCCGACUUUCAGGUCUUGAUCUAUUUUGAUGAUUCCCUUCUUUUUCUAUUGUCCCCUAAUUCAUUAAAAUGAAGUGUUAAUUUUCAAAAAAGAAAAGAAUUUGUUCAUAAAUAAAGAAGUGAUUUACUGGAAAUAGAUUGAAUUAAGGUAGGUUUAGAAGCAUGCGAGCAUCCUUAUAAAUAAUAUAUUUUAUUAAUUAAUUAAUGGUGUAUUUACUCAAUGAAAAUUAAAAUGUGCUAGACUUAAAAUAAGUAUGAAUUUGAAUUAGUUGGAAUGAGAAUGAAAAUGAGAAUCAGAAUAAAUUAUUUAUUUUAUUUUUUAAAAUUAAAAUUUGAAUGAAAUGUAUUAUGUUGAUGUGUAUACUUUAUCUUUAAAUUAGAAUGAAUUUUUUUUUAAUUUAUUAAAAUAUUCUUAUUUAAUUAUUAUCAUUAUUUAUUAUAGAAUUAUAUUAAGAAAAUUAUUGUUAAUAAUAAUAAUAAUAGAUAUAAUUAUUAUUAUCAUUUUCUCUCUGUUUGUUUUCUAUUUCUCCUCUUUUUUCCUUUUCCUUUUUUUCUCUCUCUUGCAAAUUAUUCGUUACUUUUUCUCCUCCCUCGUAUCUUCUUCUCUUUUCCUCCUUUUGUUUUUAUUUUCUAUUUUUCUCCUCUAUCAUUUCUUCCUCUCCUCCGUCUAUUCUUCAUCUUCAAAAUCUUUUUUGUCUUAUUUUUCAUUGCUUCUUCUCCUUCAUUUCUUUUUUUUUUCGUUUUUAUUUUUUUCUCUUAUUUAUUGUUUCUUCUUCUCCUCCGUCUAUUCCUCAUCUUGAAAUGAAAUUGACAGUGUGACAUGAUGAACGAUGACACGAUUCCGACCAGUGACUGGUGCGAGAUUGGCGACGAACGAUGAAAUCAAAUGGUGGGUUCUCGUUUGUGGGUGAGAAAGAUGAGAUGGGUCGGUUGCUUAGAUAAUGGAUUUUUAUUUUUUUUCAAUUUAUAUUUUUCUAUGACAUAAAGGGUAUUUUUGGAAAAUAAAAAAUAAUGAGGACAUUUUCGUCAUGGGGAAUGGGUUUUUAUUCCCAGCCCCCCAUUGGAUUCAAAAUCCGAGUAUUCAUUCCUUAGUGAUGUGUAGGAUCCACGUAUUCCAUUUUCAUUUCUAUCUUUAAUUUAAUAAGUAAAUAGAUUUUUUUAUUUUGAUUCUCAUUCUAGAAAUGUAAACACACUUUAAUUAUUAUUUUUUUCAGUAAAAAGAUUUCACAAGAAUUUAGAAGGGUGCUCUUAAUAGUCCAACUCACAACAAAAACAUAACCCAAAACAAAUUGCAUAUCUGUAAAUUGAAUUGAUUAGGCAGGGCUAAUCAGAUAAAGUUAAAACCAAACAAAAUUUGCAUAUGAAGUAAUGGAACUUGGAAACACAUUUUUGUAUAGGGUCAUGAAUAUUUUCACCAUACUAUUUUUGUAAUGAAACUUAUCCCCCAUUUUCUCAUUGACGAUUUUGAUCCCUAUUAUUUUGAGGUCAUAUACAAAUCUUUCUACUAUACCAUACUAUCUACUUUUUUUAUUUUAAUGUAUAUGAAGAUAGAAACAGAAUAUAGACUAAUCUACAAUAUGAAUAUGGAUCUUUUUUCAUCCCAC